rnacentral:rRNA from 1 species
GUCCACGCCCUAAACGAUGUCAACUGGUUGUUGGGUCUUUACUGACUCAGUAACGAAGCUAACGCGUGAAGUUGACCGCCUGGGGAGUACGGCCGCAAGGUUGAAACUCAAAGGAAUUGACGGGACCCGCACAAGCGGUGGAUGAUGUGGUUUAAUUCGAUGCAACGCGAAACCUUACCCACCUUUGACAUGUACGGAACCCUUUAGAGAUAGAGGGGUGCUCGAAAGAGAUCCGUAACACAGGUGCUGCAUGGCUGUCGU